rnacentral:rRNA from 1 species
UACGUAGGGUGCAAGCGUUAAUCGGAAUUACUGGGCGUAAAGCGUGCGCAGGCGGUUGUGUAAGACAGAUGUGAAAUCCCCGGGCUCAACCUGGGAACUGCAUUUGUGACUGCACGGCUGGAGUGCGGCAGAGGGGGAUGGAAUUCCGCGUGUAGCAGUGAAAUGCGUAGAUAUGCGGUGGAACACCGAUGGCGAAGGCAAUCCCCUGGGCCUGCACUGACGCUCAUGCACGAAAGCGUGGGGGAGCAAACAGG